UACGUAGGGUGCGAGCGUUAAUCGGAAUUACUGGGCGUAAAGCGUGCGCAGGCGGUUGAUUAAGUCUGAUGUGAAAGCCCCGGGCUCAACCUGGGAAUGGCAUUGGAAACUGGUCAGCUGGAGUGUGGCAGAGGGGGGUGGAAUUCCGCGUGUAGCAGUGAAAUGCGUAGAGAUGCGGAGGAACACCGAUGGCGAAGGCAGCCCCCCUGGGCCAACACUGACGCUCAGGCACGAAAGCGUGGGGAGCAAACAGG
rnacentral:rRNA from 1 species